UGUCGUCAGCUCGUGUCGUGAGAUGUUGGGUUAAGUCCCGCAACGAGCGCAACCCUCAUCCUUAGUUGCCAUCAGGUAAUGCUGAGUACUUUAAGGAAACUGCCAGUGAUAAGCUGGAGGAAGGUGGGGAUGAUGUCAAGUCAUCAUGGCCUUUAUGGAGUGGGCUACACACGUGCUACAAUGGUGUCUACAAUGGGCUGCAAGGUGCGCAAGCCUAAGCUAAUCCCUAAAAGACAUCUCAGUUCGGAUUGUACUCUGCAACUCGAGUACAUGAAGUUGGAAUCGCUAGUAAUCGUGGAUCAGCAUGCCACGGUGAAUACGUUCUCGGGUCUUGUACACACUGCCCGUCACGCCUGGGGAAUUGAC
rnacentral:rRNA from 1 species